AUGAACGCUGGCGGCGUGCCUAAUACAUGCAAGUCGAGCGAACAGACGAGGAGCUUGCUCCUCUGACGUUAGCGGCUGACGGGUGAGUAACACGUGGAUAACCUACCUAUAAGACUGGGAUAACUUCGGGAAACCGGAGCUAAUACCGGAUAAUAUAUUGAACCGCAUGGUUCAAUAGUGAAAGACGGUUUUGCUGUCACUUAUAGAUGGAUCCGCGCCGCAUUAGCUAGUUGGUAAGGUAACGGCUUACCAAGGCAACGAUGCGUAGCCGACCUGAGAGGGUGAUCGGCCACACUGGAACUGAGACACGGUCCAGACUCCUACGGGAGGCAGCAGUAGGGAAUCUUCCGCAAUGGGCGAAAGCCUGACGGAGCAACGCCGCGUGAGUGAUGAAGGUCUUCGGAUCGUAAAACUCUGUUAUUAGGGAAGAACAAAUGUGUAAGUAACUAUGCACGUCUUGACGGUACCUAAUCAGAAAGCCACGGCUAACUACGUG
rnacentral:rRNA from 1 species